rnacentral:tRNA from 1 species
CCAUGGCGGGCGUGGUGGGCGCGGGCGGUCUGGGCGACCUGGCCGUGCGCUUCGGCUAUCAGCGGUUCCAGACCGACGUCAUGGUC